GGACGCAUUUGACAUUGGGUCUUCAGUUUCUGAUUCCAAACAUGCAUCAAUGAUAUGGGAACAAUCUUAGACUAAAGACAGCCAUUAUAUCUUCUGGGAAAAAAAAAAGUGUUGAAGUCAAAGGAGAAUCUGAAGUUGACUUGGCCGGAGUUGCAUCAUGCAUGAGCUCUAAUGAUCUUCGAAGAUUUGAAGAAAAUCAGUGCAUUAAAAAUGUAAAACUAUUGCCUUAAGCCCCCUUCAUGGGUUACUGCUUGUCAUGGUGAAGGGGCUUGCAUAGUUCAAUGAAGGUAUGAGUUAUGCCAUGCAGGGCCACCCAAGAUGAACAGGUCAUAGCAGAGAGUUCUGACAAAAUGUGAUCCACUGGAGAAGAAAAUGGCAACCCACUCCGGU
rnacentral:lncRNA from 1 species